rnacentral:rRNA from 1 species
GCGGAGGGAUCAUUGCUGGAACGCGCUUCGGCGCACCCAGAAACCCUUUGUGAACUUAUACCUAUUUGUUGCCUCGGCGUAGGCCGGCCUCUUCACUGAGGCCCCCUGGAAACAGGGAGCAGCCCGCCGGCGGCCAACUAAACUCUUGUUUCUAUAGUGAAUCUCUGAGUAAAAACAUAAAUGAAUCAAAACUUUCAACAACGGAUCUCUUGGUUCUGGCAUCGAUGAAGAACGCAGCGAAAUGCGAUAAGUAAUGUGAAUUGCAGAAUUCAGUGAAUCAUCGAAUCUUUGAACGCACAUUGCGCCCUCUGGUAUUCCGGAGGGCAUGCCUGUUCGAGCGUCAUUUCAACCCUCAAGCCUGGCUUGGUGAUGGGGCACUGCCUUCUAACGAGGGCAGGCCCUGAAAUCUAGUGGCGAGCUCGCUAGGACCCCGAGCGUAGUAGUUAUAUCUCGUUCUGGAAGGCCCUGGCGGUGCCCUGCCGUUAAACCCCCAACUUCUGAAAAUUUGACCUCGGAUCAGGUAGGAAUACCCGCUGAACUUAAGCAUAUCAAUA